UACGUAGGUGGCGAGCGUUGUCCGGAUUUACUGGGCGUAAAGGGAGCGUAGGCGGAUUUUUAAGUGAGAUGUGAAAUACUCGGGCUCAACUUGAGUGCUGCAUUUCAAACUGGAAGUCUAGAGUGCAGGAGAGGAGAAUGGAAUUCCUAGUGUGGCGGUGAGAUGCGUAGAGAUUAGGAAGAACACCAGUGGCGAAGGCGAUUCUCUGGACUGUAACUGACGCUGAGGCUCGAAAGCGUGGGGAGCAAACAGG
rnacentral:rRNA from 1 species